CAGAGUGUUACAACUCCCUAAACCACUGUGAACAUACCUAUGUUGCUUCGGCGGGAUCGCCCCGUGGCCCUCGCGGCCCGGGCUCAGGCGCCCGCCGGAGGUCCAAACUCUAGUUUUCAACUUGUCUUCUGAGUGGCGCAAGCAAAUCAAAAUAAAUCA
rnacentral:misc_RNA from 1 species